GAUGAACGCUGGCGGCGUGCCUAAUACAUGCAAGUCGAGCGAACAGACGCGGAGCUUGCUCCUCUGACGUUAGCGGCGGACGGGUGAGUAACACGUGUAUAACCUACCUAUCAGACUGGUAUAACUUCGGGAAACCGGCGCUAAUACCGGAUAAUAUAUUGAACCGCAUGGUUCAUUAGUGAAAGACGGUUUUGCUGUAACGUAUAGCUGGAUCCGCGCCGCAUUAGCUAGUUGGUAAGGUAACGGCUUACCAGGGCAACGAUGCGUAGACGACCGGAGAGGGGGAUCGGCCACACUGGAACGGAGACACGGUCCAGACUACUACGGGAGGCAGCAGAAGGGAAUCUGCCGCAGUGGGCGAAUGCCUGACGGAGCAACGCCGCGUGAGUGAUGAAGGUCUUGGGAUCGGAAAACCCUGUUAUGAGGGAAGAACAAAUGUGUAAGUAACUAAGCACGUCUUGACGGUAACUAAUCAGAAAGCCACGGCUAACUACGUG
rnacentral:rRNA from 1 species